GACGAACGCUGGCGGCGUGCUUAACACAUGCAAGUCGAACGGAAAGGCCCUGCUUUUGUGGGGUGCUCGAGUGGCGAACGGGUGAGUAACACGUGAGUAACCUGCCCUUGACUUUGGGAUAACUUCAGGAAACUGGGGCUAAUACCGGAUAGGAGCUCCUGCUGCAUGGUGGGGGUUGGAAAGUUUCGGCGGUUGGGGAUGGACUCGCGGCUUAUGAGCUUGUUGGUGGGGUAGUGGCUUACCAAGGCUUUGACGGGUAGCCGGCCUGAGAGGGUGACCGGCCACAUUGGGACUGAGAUACGGCCCAGACUCCUACGGGAGGCAGCAGUGGGGAAUAUUGCACAAUGGGCGGAAGCCUGAUGCAGCAACGCCGCGUGCGGGAUGAAGGCCUUCGGGUUGUAAACCGCUUUCGCCUGUGACGAAGCGUGAGUGACGGUAAUGGGUAAAGAAGCACCGGCUAACUACGUG
rnacentral:rRNA from 1 species